rnacentral:rRNA from 1 species
UACAUGGGGUGCAAACGUUGCUCGGAAUUAUUGGGCGUAAAGCGCACGUAGGUGGUCUGUUAUGUCGGAUGUGAAAGCCCUCGGCUCAACUGAGGAAGUGCAUCCGAAACUGGCAGGCUUGAGUAUGUAAGAGGGUCGCGGAAUUCCCGGUGUAGAGGUGAAAUUCGUAGAUAUCGGGAGGAACACCGGUGGCGAAGGCGGAUCUCUGGGCCUUACCUGACGCUGAGGCGCGAAAGCUAGGGGAGCGAACAGG